rnacentral:tRNA from 1 species
GCCCGGGUGAUGGAACUGGUAUACAUGCGGCAUUCAAAACGCCGUGGCUUCGGCUCUGUGGGUUCGAAUCCCACUCCGGGUACCA